rnacentral:lncRNA from 1 species
ACUGGACAGACCAUGUGUUUGUUAAUUGGUAAUUCCUUCAUGUCCUUGGAGAAGAGUCUCCUUAGAAUAUAUACCCUGUCCCAUCUCUCAGUGGUUCUUCCUUAUGGCUGUACUCAAUUCCUUUUUCUCUACUCAUCUCCCAAAAUCACCCAUCUGUAUUCCUUUUAAAUAAGAGAGACAUAAGGAACCUUAUGGUCUUGGCCUUAUAAUGUUUCCCUUUACAAGUUUUAAUCUAACAAGAAGGAAACUGAUGGGGCAAAAAAAAAAAAACCUAAAAAUGAACUGACACUUGUAGGCUAGGAGCAUCUUUAUAACAAUUGAAAUCCUGACCACUGACUGCUUUUACAUUUAGCUGGUGAAAAAAUGCAUAACCAGUUUAGACAUCUCCCAACUUAGUAUGUAGAAGAUCUAGACACUCUGUGAUGGGCUAUGGCCUGUUCCCUCUUUGCCUUGUCCCCUGAGUCAACAUGGGUCAGAUCAUACAUGUUUGUGAGUUGACUGAUGUGUGAUGCAUGUUGUUUGCAAGGCUCUCCCUCCCUCCUGACAUAUGCUGUUGGCACAGCCCCCG